CCCCUAGACGUUCUGGGCUGCACGCGCGCUACAAUAAUACGCACAGCGAGUAUCACCGAGCUCGAAAGGGCAAGGUAAACAAUAGAAAAGGUACUGUAAUGGUUAUAGAUCCUUGUAAUUAUUGAUCUUCAACGAGGAAUUCCUAGUAAGUAUGUGUCAUCAUCACGCACUGAUUACGUCCCUGCCCUUUGUACACACCGCCCGUCGCUCCUACCGAUUGAGUGAGCCGAUGAAACUGCCGGAUGUGGACUAUUCAUAGUCUACAGAAGAUAUUUGAAUCGUAGCGCUUAGAGGAAGGAGAAGUCGUAACA
rnacentral:rRNA from 1 species